AAAAAAAUAUGCACAAAAUAAUAUAUAUAAUAUGUUUAUAAAAAGACAAAAAAAAAAAAAUUAAUCUAGUUUAAAGAAAUUCAAUUUAUUUUACCACUGUUUGUAGCUUAUAUCUAUUCUUGUUCUUCAACAAAAAAAAAAAUAUAUAUAUAUUACUUUAUCUCAUUAUCGUGUUUAAUAUUUUAUUUAUUAAGAGGUAUUAAUAUUAUAUAGUGUAAAAAAAAAAAAAAAAAAAAAAUUAUAAAAAAACGUAUAUUUUAUAUAUAUAAAUUUAUUUUGUUUUAGUUGUAAUUUUUAUAUAUAAUCAUUCAUUAAAUUCUUGUUAAUUUUACAGAUUUCUAAUUUAUAAAAAAAAAAAUUAUUUAUGCUAACAUAAGUGCAUAAAUUCAUGUGUAUAAAAAAACUCUUUUAUAUACAUAUUUUUUUUUUUUUUGUUUUUUUGUUUUUUUUUCGAUCCUAUUAGGAUAUUUAACAUAUUGACGCUUGUCUUUUGACAUUUAACACGUUUGAUAUUUUCAUUUUUCAUAUUUCCCAUUUAUAUACGCUCACGCACUUGUAUAUAUAAUUUAAUUUAAUUUAAUUUAAUUUUUAUUACAUCAUUUAAUACAAUGGGACAAACAAUAUCAAAACAGGAAGAAAUCGAAAAACAAAGUAUUUAUGCGAGUUAUCCAGGUCUUGAACAACAAUUGGAUAUGGUUUUUGCAUGCCAUGAUGUAGCAAAUGAAGGGAAGUUACCAUACAAAACUGUGGAAAUGAUAUUAAGACACUUUUUAAUGCAAUUCGGAUAUAUGGAGUAUGUCUGUAGAUUUGUUAACGAAGAUGGUCAAUUGGAUUUGAAACAUGUUGAGGAAUACAUAACAAAUAAGAAAUUAUUGUACAGUAUAAAAUAUAGUUGUGAUUGUAAUCUUAAUGUUGAUGAAAUGAAAAUUUUAGUAUUAACCUUUUUAAAAAAAAUAGCUGACACUUAUGUAGAAGAUCAAGCUAUUUGGACAGAAAAGAUGAAAACUUCACAAGAAGAACAAGGAAAAGCUUUAAAAGAAGCAAUGAAUAAAUAUGAAAAAGACAUGUUAUUUAAUCAUUGUUUAAAA
rnacentral:lncRNA from 1 species